rnacentral:rRNA from 1 species
CAACACUGAGGCGUGAUGACGAGGCACUACGGUGCUGAAGUGACAGAUGCCCUGCUUCCAGGAAAAGCCUCUAAGCAUCAGGUAACAGUGAAUCGUACCCCAAACCGACACAGGUGGUCAGGUAGAGAAUACUCAGGCGCUUGAGAGAACUCGGGUGAAGGAACUAGGCAAAAUGGUGCCGUAACUUCGGGAGAAGGCACGCUGGGCAUGGUGAAGUCCCCUGCGGACGGAGCUGGGCCCAGUCGCAGAUACCAGCUGGCUGCAACUGUUUAAUAAAAACACAGCACUGUGCAAACACGAAAGUGGACGUAUACGGUGUGACGCCUGCCCGGUGCCGGAAGGUUAAUUGAUGGGGUUAUCCGCAAGGAGAAGCUCUUGAUCGAAGCCCCGGUAAACGGCGGCCGUAACUAUAACGGUCCUAAGGUAGCGAAAUUCCUUGUCGGGUAAGUUCCGACCUGCACGAAUGGCGUAAUGAUGGCCAGGCUGUCUCCACCCGAGACUCAGUGAAAUUGAACUCGCUGUGAAGAUGCAGUGUACCCGCGGCAAGACGGAAAGACCCCGUGAACCUUUACUAUAGCUUGACACUGAACCUUGAACCUUGAUGUGUAGGAUAGGUGGGAGGCUGAGAAAUGUGGACGCCAGUCUGCAUGGAGCCAACCUUGAAAUACCACCCUUUAAUGUUUGAUGUUCUAACGUGGGCCCGUGAACCGGGUUGCGGACAGUGUCUGGUGGGUAGUUUGACUGGGGCGGUCUCCUCCCAAAGCGUAACGGAGGAGCACGAAGGUUAGCUAAUCCUGGUCGGACAUCAGGAGGUUAGUGCAAAGGCAUAAGCUAGCUUGACUGCGAGAGUGACGGCUCGAGCAGGUGCGAAAGCAGGUCUUAGUGAUCCGGUGGUUCUGAAUGGAAGGGCCAUCGCUCAACGGAUAAAAGGUACUCCGGGGAUAACAGGCUGAUACCGCCCAAGAGUUCAUAUCGACGGCGGUGUUUGGCACCUCGAUGUCGGCUCAUCACAUCCUGGGGCUGAAGUAGGUCCCAAGGGUAUGGCUGUUCGCCAUUUAAAGUGGUACGCGAGCUGGGUUUAGAACGUCGUGAGACAGUUCGGUCCCUAUCUGCCGUGGGCGUUGGAAGAUUGAGGGGGGUUGCUCCUAGUACGAGAGGACCGGAGUGAACGCACCGCUGGUGUUCGGGUUGUCAUGCCAAUGGCACUGCCCGGUAGCUACGUGCGGAAGAGAUAACCGCUGAAAGCAUCUAAGCGGGAAACUUGCCCCGAGAUGAGUCUUCCCUGGGUCCUUGAGACCCCUGAAGGGACGUUCGAGACGAGGACGUUGAUAGGCUGGGUGUGUAAGCGUAGCGAUACGUUGAGCUAACCAGUACUAAUGACCCGAGAGGCUUAACC